GUGCACCAUCGUGAUGUGGUUAUUUCAAUCAUAAAGUUUUGAUUGGAUGGGCAAUAAUUUUAUUGCCCUUUUUAUUUU
rfam:Bacteria symbiont BFo1 of Frankliniella occidentalis strain BFo1 contig207, whole genome shotgun sequence.